AAGACAUGAAGAAAAUGAUUAGCUUAAUUGGCUAUGAUGACUUAAUUGGCCAUGCUGAUCACUCCAUUAACUCAGGAUUAGCAGAAAGCAGACUCGCCAAAGGAAAAGGAAAACUCAGGCGUAGAUGCCAAGACUGAAGAAAGCUGGGUUGGUAGGCGCAGGAGCUAUGCCUCUCCAGAGGGCCGUUGAGACCGCGACUGGAAAUGGAAGCCCUAAUUCACCCCGCGUCCAGUCAUUUGCAGCCGCUGAACUUGGGAUUUGGUGGACGGGAGCGAGCCGCCGCGGAGCAAAGAUAAAAAUGGAAAUGGCGCCCUACAUGAAGUGGAGUGGGGGGGAAGGAGGAGGGGGGGUGGGGUUCUGUCAUCCCAACACAGAGUGAAUGAGAGAGAGCCAGAGACUGAUACUGCGGAUAGAGAGGCUUCAUAAAGCAAGGGAUCAGAGAGGUGUUGUUAUCAGGACCACAUUUAGAAGAUAUUGUACUGCUGCGUACACGUGUGCGUGUGCGCGAUACAUUAGCCUGCUAACCUCUCUCACUCGCCUUUGAUUUCCAGCUCCUCGACACAAAUGCUUCAGCACUUUAUAGUGGAUACAGCUCUCAGAGAAAACGUGUACCGACGAUCCGAAGGAACUAAAUCUGCUAAAAGUGUAGCUGAAUGCUUUGUCAACGUGUGUAUUUACAGGGAAACAUGUCAGAGAUCUUUUUUUUUUUUUUGGAAGGCACAGCCCUUUCUCGGCUCCGGAACAUCCCGGCUAGGCCAGCACAAUGCGGUUCAGGGCCAUUCAGGGUGGCUAACCAGGCUUUGUGAACAGCGUGAAGAGAGGAACAGAAAGGGCAGAGUCUGUAUAUUCCAGUUGCAGCGCAACAAAAGGCACGAGAAGGCCCCGAUCAUACCAGGUUCAGUGUUUCAACUCAGUAUAUAUAUUUAGAGUAAUGCAAAAGCUCUACCACUCGUUACCAUUACCGGUACAGUGCUCAGUCAAUGCUCUCCCCCUGUAACUCUACAUCUAACGUAAAAAGCUUUAACUAAUGUAUCUCAACGUAUCUCCUCAAAUAAAGCAUUAAAUCUUAA